rnacentral:rRNA from 1 species
UACGUAGGUGACAAGCGUUGUCCGGAUUUACUGGGCGUAAAGAGCGCGCAGGCGGUUGUUCAAGUCGAGUGUGAAAGCCCCCGGCUCAACUGGGGAGGGUCACUCGAUACUGAUCGACUCGAAGGCAGGAGAGGGAAGUGGAAUUCCCGGUGUAGUGGUGAAAUGCGUAGAUACCGGGAGGAACACCAGUGGCGAAGGCGACUUCCUGGCCUGUUCUUGACGCUGAGGCGCGAAAGCUAGGGGAGCAAACGGG